GUGCCCACAAGCUUGCCCACCGCCACCAGGGGUGGUGGCGGUGUGGGCCCUUGUGGCUUCCUCGUUUGCUCUCCGGACUGCUUUUUAUUUUUCUAAUUUCCAAAAAUUCCAAAACUGAGGAAAUUUCCUAUUGGAAAAGUAUCGGAGUCCAAUUUCUUGCCGAAACAGAUACAUCUUCGUUUUGAAGGUCUGAAACAGGCUGAUAAACAUCCCUUAUGUACUCCUGUGGAGUUAUGACAUUGAGGAUAUUGGUCUCAACAUUUAUGGGAGUACCAGAGAUGUAAUGCUUGAUUCUUUGCCCAUUUACCACUCUAGGAAAAUUUCCUUCCGUGUUAUUGAUUUUGAUGGCACCGGAACGAUAUACUUCCUCGACAACAUAGGGACCUUGCCAUUUAGAGAGAAGCUUGCCUGCAAAGAAUCUCAAAUGAGAAUUGUAUAGCAAGACAUAAUCACCUACAUUGAACUCUCGUUUUUGUAUUCGUUUGUCGUGCCAUCUCUUAACCUUUUCCUUGAACAACUUGGCAUUCUCGUAUGCCUGGGCUCUCCAUUCAUCUAACGAGCUGAUAUCAAACAACCGCUUCUCACCGGCAAGUUUGAAAUCGAAGUUGAGCUCUUUGAUUGCCCAAUAAGCUUUAUGUUCCAGCUCAAGAGGUAAAUGAUAGGCCUUACCAUAAACCAUUUUAUACGGUGACAUGCCCAUGGGAUUCUUAUAAGCAGUCCUAUAAGCCCAUAGUGCAUCGUCAAGGUUGAUAGACCAGUUCUUUCGAGAUCUAUUGACGGUCUUUUGUAGGAUCAACUUCAUCUCCCUAUUACUCAACUCAACUUGACCACUAGAUUGAGGAUGAUAAGGAGAUGCAACUCUAUGGUUGACAUCAUACUUAGCUAGCAUCUUGCGGAAAACACCAUGAAUGAAGUGUGAACCGCCAUCAGUCAUCAAGUAUCUAGGGACUCCAAAUCUUGGGAAUAUGACUUCUUUAAGCAUCUUAAUAGAGGUGUGGUGAUCAGCAUUUUUAAUGGGGAUAGCUUCUACCCACUUAGUAACGUAAUCCACAGCAACUAAGAUGUGAGUGUACCCAUUGGAACUCGGGAAGGGUCCCAUAUAAUCAAAGCCCCAGACAUCAAAUGGUUCGAUGACAAGUGAAUAGUCCAUAGGCAUCUCUUGACGCUUACUGAUGUUCCCUAUCCUUGGGCAUUCGUCACAAGACAAGACAAACUUACGAGCAUCCUUGAAGAGAGUGGGCCAAUAGAAACCUGAUUGCAAUACCUUAUGGGCAGUUCUAUCUCCAGCAUGGUGUCCUCCGUAGGCUUCGGAAUGACACUUCUGCAGGAUCUGUCCCUGUUCAUGUUCAGGCACACAACGUCUAAUAACACCAUCUACUCCUUCCUUAUAAAGGUGAGGAUCAUCCCAAAAGUAGUGUCUUAAAUCAAAGAAGAUUUUCUUCUUUUGUUGAUAGGUGAAACUGGGUGGUAUGUAUUUGCCUACGAUAUAGUUUGCAUAAUCGGCAUACCACGGUGCACUAAGUGAAGUGCGGAUGACAUUAAUUUGCUCAUCAGGAAAGCUAUCAUCAAUAGGUAGUGGGUCCUCAAGGACAUUCUCUAGCCUAGACAAGUUACCUGCUAUAGGGUUAUGAGCACCCUUUCGGUCAACGACGUGCAAAUCAAAUUCCUGUAGCAGGCGAACCCAUCUGAUUAGCCUAGGCCUAGCGUCCUUCUUCUCCAUAAGGUACUUAAUAGCAUCAUGAUUAGAGUGAAUAGUGACUUUUGAGUCAACUAUAUAAGAUCUCAACUUUUCACAUGCAAACACGACUGCUAGAAAUUCCUUCUCCGUAGUGGCAUAGUUUUUUUGGGCACUGUCUAGAGUUUUACUAGCGUAGUGAAUGAAAUUCAACUUCUUGUCAACUCUUUGUCCUAGAACAACACCAACAGCAUAAUCACUAGCGUCACACAUGAUUUCAAAGGGCAAGUUCCAGUCAGGUGGUUGAACAAUAGGUGCGGUUAUCAAAGCCUUCUUAAGUAUUUCGAAAGCUUCCUCACAAUCCUCAUCAAAAACAAAAGGAACAUCCUUCUGCAAGAGGUUGGUAAGAGGCCUAGAAAUCUUAGAGAAGUCUUUAAUGAACCUUCUAUAGAAACCAGCAUGACCUAGGAAACUUCGUAUACCUCUGAUAUCUGUGGGGCAAGGCAUUUUCUCAAUUGCAUCAACCUUAGCCUUAUCAACUUCAAUGCCUCUCUCAGAAAUUUUGUGUCCUAAGACGAGACAUUCAUUAACCAUAAAGUGGCACUUCUCCCAAUUCAAGAUGAGGUUGGUUUCUUCGCAUCUCUGUAAUACUCGAUCACGGUUGCUGAGGCAAUCAUCAAAGGAAGACCCGUAAACGGAGAAGUCAUCCAUGAAAACCUCGACAAUCUUUUCACAAAAGUCAGAGAAUAUAGCCAUCAUACAUCUUUGGAAGGUGGCAGGUGCAUUACAUAAGCCAAAAGUCAUACGUCUAUAGGCAAAGGUACCGAAAGGGCAGGUGAAAGUGGUUUUCUCUUGAUCAGAUUGUGCAACAGGUAUUUGCAAGAAACCUGAAUAACCGUCUAGAAAGCAGAAGUGAGUGUGCUUUGAUAGCCUUUCUAGCAUUUGGUCGAUGAACGGCAAAGGAUAAUGAUCUUUCCUGGUUGCCUUGUUCAAUUUCCGGAAGUCUAUCACCAUUCUAUAGCCGGUAAUAAUCCUUUGUGGGAUUAGUUCAUCCUUAUCAUUAGGAACGACGGUGAUACCUCCCUUUUUAGGUACGCAAUGUACUUGACUUACGCAAUCACUAUAAGCAAUAGGAUAAAUGAUUCCUGCUUCCAGAAGCUUUAAUAUUUCUUUUCUAACGACCUCUUUCAUCUUAGGAUUUAAUCUCCUUUGAUGAUCAACAACUGGUUUAAAGUCAGGAUCGGUUUUAAUCUUGUGCUGACAUAGAGUAGGACUAAUACCCUUAAGAUCAUCAAGAGUAUAUCCAAUAGCAGCGCGGUGCUUCCUGAGAGUUUUUAGUAACUUCUUCUCUUCGCGCUCUGAGAGGAGAGCACUAAUAAUGAUAGGAUAUAUCUCCUUCUCAUCAAGAUAGGCAUACUUAAGAGUAUCAGGCAACUGUUUAAGCUCGAACACAGGAUCACCCUUUGGUGGGGGAGGAUCCCCAAGCAGUUCAAAAGGCAGAUUAUUCUUGAGAAUAGGAUGUUGUUCUAAGACAAUUCUAUCUAUCUCAUCUCUCUCCUCCAUAUGCAUAUCAUUUUCAUGCUCAAGCAGAUAUUGCUCUAAAGGAUCCGUAGGAGGUACGGCAAUAGAGGCAAGAGCAAUGAUUUCAUCUCUACCAGACGACUCUCUUUCAUGGGGUUGUCUUCCAAACUUGGAGAAGUUAAAUUCAUGAGACACACCCUCGAAAGUUACUUUGACAGUCUGCUUAAUGCAAUCAAUGUGAGCAUUGACAGUGUUGAGAAAGGGUCUACCAAAUAUGAUGGGACAAAAGAUAUCUUGUGCAGUAUCAAGGACGAGGAAAUCAGUAGGAUACUUCAUCUUACCACACAGGACUUCUACGUCUCUCACAAUUCCUAGAGGGCAGAUAGUGUCUCGAUUAGCUAACGUAAUAGUGACAUCAAUGGGUUCUAACUCAGCAGGUGCAAUCCCAUCUUUGAUGUCAUCAUAUAGAGAACGGGGUAUUGCACUUACACUAGCUCCCAUAUCACAUAAACCAUGGUAACAGUGAUCUCCUAUCUUAACAGAAACAACGGGUAGGCCAACUACAGGUCAGUGCUUGUCUUUCGCGUGAGGUUAGCAAUUCUAGCGGAGUCCUCACAGAAUUUGAUAACAUGCCAAUCUAUGUCUUCGGCUAAGAGAUCUUUGAUAAUAGCAACAACACUAGGUUCAACUCUAAUCUCCUCAGGGGGUGCAAGUGGUCUAAUGUAACCCCUACGUAUCACAGUUGGAGCUUUAGAAUAAUCCUUCAUCCUAGCAGGGUAUGGUGGUUUCUCAGUGUAAGCACAAGGAACAACAGGAUCACUAAAAGCUAUGAUUUUCUCCUCAACUAGAUUGGUUUUGGCUAUGUUGCUUUCUACUGGAGGAUGAUAUUUAAACCACUUGUCUUUGGGAAGUUCAACAUGAGCAGCAAAAGAUUCACAUAAAGAAGCUACUAUGUGAGAGUCAAGUCCAUACUUAGCGCUAAAAUCUCUAGAAGUGUUUGUCUCAACAAAAGAUUUAACGCAAUCAAACUGGAAAUUCAUACCUGAGUCCUUACCUUCCUCCAGCUCCCAAUCUUCAGAGUUGUGUUUGAUUCUCUCCAAUAAAUUCCACUUGUAAUCAAUAUCCUUCUUCAUAAAAGAACCGACACAAGAAGUGUCAAGCAUGGUACGAUCUUCAUGAGAAAGCCGAGCAUAAAAGUUUUGAGUGAUGAUUUCUCUCGACAGCUCAUGAUUGGGGCAUGAAUAUAGCAUUUAUUUAAGCCUCCCCCAAGCUUGAGCUAUGCUUUCCCUGUCAUGAGGCCAAAAGUUAUAAAUAAAGUUCCGAUCACGAUGUACUAAAUGCAUAGGAUAGAACUUUUGAUGAAAUUCCAAUUUCAACCGAUUGUAGCCCCAUGAUCCAGCAUCAUCACAUAGCCUAUACCAUGUCAACGCCUUAUACUUCAAAGAUAAAGGAGAGACUUUCUUCUUUACCUCAUCCUCAGGCAAACCUGCAAGCUUAAAUAAACCACAAACUUCAUCUACAUAGAUUAGAUGAAAGUUUGGAUGUGAAGAUCCAUCUCCUGUAAAAGGAUUAGCCAGCUGUUUCUCAAGCAUACCCAAAGGAAUUUCAUAAAAGAUAUUUUCAGUAGGUACCUCAGGUUGAGGAGCAACUCCUCGUGCUUCCGUUCGUGGUGAAGAUACCCCGAAUAAACUCCUCAAAGGAAGAGUUUCCAUAGUGACAAGUGACAAUAAAUUUCAGCACAGUAUAUAAAUGUUUCCUUACCAAUUUCCACUUACCAAAGCCGCUUCACUCCCCGGCAAGGGCGCCAGAAAAGAGUCUUGAUGACCCACAAGUAUAGGGGAUCAAUCGUAGUCCUUUCGAUAAGUAAGAGUGUCAAACCCAACGAGGAGCAGAAGGCUCUGAUAGAUGGAUUUCAGCAAGGUAAUAACUGCAAGCACUGAAAGUAGCGGUAACAAGUGAUUGUGUAGCGAGGUGAAACGUAGCAAGCAAAGAGUAACAAGUAACAAGUAGUAGCAACGGUGCAGCAAGUGGACCAAUCCCUUUUGUAGCAAGGGACAAGCCUGAACAAAGUUUUAUAGGAGGAAAAACGCUCCCGAGGACACACGGGAAUUUCUAUCAUGCUAGUUUCAUCAUGUUCAUAUGAUUCACGUUCGUUACUUUGAUAGUAUGAUAUGUGGGUGGACUGGCGCUUGGGUACUGCCCUUACUUGGACAAGCAUCCCACUUAUGAUUAACCUCUCUCGCAAGCAAACACAAAUACAAAAGAAGAAUUAAGACAAAGUCUAACCAUAGCAUUAAACUAGUGGAUCCAAAUCAGCCCCUCACGAAGCAGCGCAUAAACUGGGGUUUAACCUUCUGUCACUCCAGCAACCCACCAUCUACUUACUACUUCCCAAUGCCUUCCUCUAGGCCCAAAUAUGGUGAAGUGUUAUGUAGUCUACGUUCACAUAACACCACUAGAGAAAAAACAUCAUACAUCAUAUCAAAAUACCGAACGAAUAUCAAAUUCACAUGACUAUUAUCAGCAUGACUUAUCCCAUGUCCUCGGGAACAAAAGUAACUACUCACAAGACAUAAUCAUAAUCAUGACCAGAGGUGUAAUGAAUAGCAUCAAGGAUCUGAACAUAAACUCUUCCACCAAGUAAUCCAACAAGCCUCAACUACAAAGAGUAAUCAACACUACUAGCAACCUUACAAGUACCAAUCGGAGUCGCGAGAUGGAGAUUGGUUACAAGAGAUGAACUAGGGAUUGGAGAGGAGAUGGUGCUGAUGAAGAUGUUGAUGAAGAUACCUCCCCUCUGACGAUAGGAGUGUUGGUGAUGACGAUGGCGACGAUUCCCCCCUUCGGGAGGGAAAUUUCCCCGGCGGGAUCGUCCUGCCGGAGCUCUAGAUUGGAUCUGCUCAAGUUCCGCCCCGUGGCGGUGGCGAAACCACGAAAAAGCUCCCGUAUGAUUUUUUUUCCAGGUCAGGACGCGUCAUAUAGCAAAACAGGGGGGCUAGUGGGCCUUCAGGCAGCCCACAAGCUUGCCCACCACCAACAGGGGGGUGGUGGUGGAGUGGGGGCUUGUGGGGCCCUGGUGGCCCCCCUCCGGUAGUUCUUUCGGCCAGUAUUUUUAAUAUAUUCCAGAAAAAAUCCACGUAAAUUUUCAGGGCAUUUGGAGAUGUGUAGAAUAGUAGACUAGGAUUUGUUCCUUUUCGAGUCCAGAAUUCCAACUGCCUGAAUUCUCCCUCUUCAAAUAAUCCUUGCAAAAUAAGAGAGAAAAGGCAUAAAUAUGGUACCACAAGUAAUAUAACAGCCCAAAAAGCAAUAAAUAUCAACAUGAAAGCAUGAUGCAAAAUGGACGUAUCAAGUAACAGCAGCAGCAACAGUAGUAACAACAUCAGAGAAAAACAAGUAACAACAGCAGUGGGACAAACUCGUAGGCAAUGGGUCGGUGAUUUGUUUGGAUGAUAUUCAUCAUGCAACAGCUAUAACACGGAGAGAUAUGUGGCUAGCUCCCGUUCAUCAAUGUGAUGUAAGCAUGCAUUCCGUGUGUCGUCAUACGUGCUUAGGGAAAAGAACUUGCAUGACAUCUAUUGUUCAUCCCUCCCGUGGCGGCGGGGUCAAAAAGGAAACUACGGGAUAUUAAGGUUCUCCUUUUAAUAAAGAACCGGACCAACGCAUUAGCACUUGGUGAACACAUGAACUCCUCAAAGUAUGAUCAUCACCGGGAGUGGUUCCGGUUAUUGUCACUCCGGGGUAGCCGGGUCAUAACACAUAGUAGGUAACUACAACUUGCAAGAUCGGAUCUAAAACACACAUAUAUUGGUGACAACGUAAUAAUUUCAGAUCUGAAAUCAUGGCACUCGGGCCCUAGUGACAAGCAUUAAGCAUGGCAAAGUAGUAGCAACAUCAAUCUCAGAACAUAGUGGAUACUAGGGAUCAAUCCCCGUNUCUCCGAUGAAUUCAAAUUCAAUCUUUUAAAAGCAAUGAGAGAAGAUGACAUGACUUCUUCAACUAUAAAGAAUUUGAAUGGAGCUGGCAUUUGAAUUUCCUUCGAUUUUAAUUUGCAAAUUCUAUUUUCCCUCCACUCAAGAAAUGUCGGGGAAUAAUAUUCUGUCAAACAGAAAAGAGAGGAGGAACAUGACCCUCCAGAGCCAGGGGCAUUUGUUGAAGUAUUUUGAGCUAAGGAAACAAAAUUUAAUUUGAGAAAAUAAUUGCAAAAAGAAAUAAUGCUUUUAGGGAUUUUUUUGGAAAAACAUUUUUUUUAAGUUUUUAUUUNNNNNNNNNNNNNNCGUGGAAAAAAUGCCCAUCAUUUAGAUUUUAUUUUUCUGAUAGUUUUAGUAUAUAGAAACUCUAUAUUCCGAAUUGAUUUGAUUUCCCUUUUAUCAUUUUAGUUUCCUAGUUUUGAAAAAGGAAAGAAAUCGUGUUUAAAUGGAAAUAAACGGUGGCCCAUUAAGACCUUUCCAAAAACUGGCCCAACAGGAUCUUCUUCUUCCUGUAUCUCCUUCCUCACGUGCACAGGACCUUCCUUAGCCAUGGACAGAGAAAUCCUCACCUCCGGGAUUCGCGAGCUAUACUUCCUCCCGGCGCCUCCCGUCACCACUAUAAGAAUGCCCAUCUCUCCUCUUUCCAUUCCCCUAGAGAAAUCCUCUUCUCCCUACCCGUAGCCAUCUCGCCACCAUCUCCACCUUCCCUGCCAUAACCGAGCUCUACAGGAGCUACACCCUGUCGCCCCCCCUGCAGGUCCCUCCCCUCCCUGUCGAGCCCUCCCUACCUCGCCGCCACCUCCCCACCACCGCUCCACCGCACCCCCUCGCCCUGCACCCUCGCCAGAGCUGCGGCCUCCUCCACAUCGCCCCGACCAGGAAGCCCCUGAUCCUCCCGUCGCCCCCCUGCACCCCUCUCCAUCUCCCCCUCGCCUCCCCCCUAGAGCCUCGCCGCCACUCCCCUACGCCGCCCGCACCCCCCCGCCGGCGACCCCACCCCGCCGGAGUUGCACCCCCUCGCCGGAGAAGGCCUCCAGCCCCUGCCAGUCAUGGUAAGGCUCCUUCUCCUCAUCCUGUUUUUUUUCUUUUUGGUUUGCCUAUUAAAUCAAGAUCUACGGUGUAGAUUACAAGGGGCAUACCCUUUCGGUUUCUCUUAAAGAACCGGUCCACCAGUGAAGUGAACCGAAUCGUUUUUCCUACAUAGGGGCCGUUCGUUAGUUAGUUUUAGGAGCGCACGGAUACGGCCAAUCAGAUCGUGCCACGUCAUCAGAUUUUGUUUUCUGUUUUAAAUCUGUGACAGAAUUAGUUCCAAUUUUGUUUAGCCCAUAACUUUUGAUCCUUAAGUCCAAUGGAGUUGAAACUUGUUCCAGUAGAUCACAAUUUUUCUGUAGUUUUUAAAAACAUAUAAUUUGUCUAUGUUUGAAAUUUUCAAAUUUGAAUUAGAUCAGAUUUAGUUUAAACCUUGUUUUGCUUAUUCCAGGAGUUUAAAAAUAGCUUUUAAUUUGAUUCCUUUUGCUACUGAUCACUAGUGAUCUUAUGUAUCAGUGGCAAACAUUUCAGAUUUAUUUGAGUAUUUUAGCUCAUGGUUUCUUGUGAAACAAUUUCUGUUUCACCUCUUUUAGGACNNNNNNNNNNNNNNNNNNNNNNNNNNNNNNNNNNNNNNNNNNNNNNNNNNNNNNNNNNNNNNNNNNNNNNNNNNNNNNNNNNNNNNNNNNNNNNNNNNNNNNNNNNNNNNNNNNNNNNNNNNNNNNNNNNNNNNNNNNNNNNNNNNNNNNNNNNNNNNNNNNNNNNNNNNNNNNNNNNNNNNNNNNNNNNNNNNNNNNNNNNNNNNNNNNNNNNNNNNNNNNNNNNNNNNNNNNNNNNNNNNNNNNNNNNNNNNNNNNNNNNNNNNNNNNNNNNNNNNNNNNNNNNNNNNNNNNNNNNNNNNNNNNNNNNNNNNNNNNNNNNNNNNNNNNNNNNNNNNNNNNNNNNNNNNNNNNNNNNNNNNNNNNNNNNNNNNNNNNNNNNNNNNNNNNNNNNNNNNNNNNNNNNNNNNNNNNNNNNNNNNNNNNNNNNNNNNNNNNNNNNNNNNNNNNNNNNNNNNNNNNNNNNNNNNNNNNNNNNNNNNNNNNNNNNNNNNNNNNNNNNNNNNNNNNNNNNNNNNNNNNNNNNNNNNNNNNNNNNNNNNNNNNNNNNNNNNNNNNNNNNNNNNNNNNNNNNNNNNNNNNNNNNNNNNNNNNNNNNNNNNNNNNNNNNNNNNNNNNNNNNNNNNNNNNNNNNNNNNNNNNNNNNNNNNNNNNNNNNNNNNNNNNNNNNNNNNNNNNNNNNNNNNNNNNNNNNNNNNNNNNNNNNNNNNNNNNNNNNNNNNNNNNNNNNNNNNNNNNNNNNNNNNNNNNNNNNNNNNNNNNNNNNNNNNNNNNNNNNNNNNNNNNNNNNNNNNNNNNNNNNNNNNNNNNNAACGGUAGGAAUGGAUGGGCACCGACAGGGAUUCAGAGGGACCCGUUGAAAGACCAUGUUUUGAUCAUCCGGUCUUCAAACACCCUGAAGUGCGAGGACAUACUCGGAGGCGAUCAAAUCUUGUGGGGAACGUGUGCAAAACUCUGCAGAGUACUCAUACCUAAUCAAUUAGCCGUGUCCACGGUCAUGGACAACUUGAGCCACAGGAACUGAAGUUAUCUGGAUUUCUCAACACCAUUAAAUAUAUUUGAUGAGGGUAAUUAUUGACAACUCGGGUACGAGAACUGGUUGGCGGAACCAUCUCGUUAACAACCAACAAAGUAGUAACAUUUUGCUUUUAGCCCUCUCUUGUUGUAGGAGAAAAAUUUGCUUUACGCUAAAACUUACAACCCCACCUGCCAUAUAUGCAUAUAGUAUAGAUGACAUUUUACCCCUCUCUUAUGUGACUUUCCAGCAUAUUCAAUAUGCUGACCUACACAGCUGCAAUGUCUUAUGUUGUAGAUAUUUUUCUUCGACGAGUAAGAGUACGAUUUAGGGUUACGGUCUACACUCAACUUGCCGUUGGUGUUUAUUGGGACUCCACUCCCUUGACUGCUUCCGCUGAGAUAUUUAAGGUAGAUAUCAGUUUUACGCUAUUUACAUGUGAUUUCACUUUGAUAUAUACAUUGAUGUACUGUGUGUGCCAGCAUACUGAUCCAGGGAUGGCAUAGAAACGCAGAGGCUUGACUCGUUUUGAGUUGGGUCGCUACAGGGAAGAAGGUUGAUGAUGACGAUGGCGACGAUUUCCCCUCUCCGUAGCCCAAAACGGACUCCAGAUCUGCCCUCCAGAUGAAGAUCAGGAUGUGGCGGCGCCUCCGUAUCACAAACGCGACGAAAUCUUCUCGCUUGAUUUUUUCUGGGACGAAAGUGAACUUAUAGAGCUGAGAUUGGGGGCGGCAGAGCCACGUGGGCCCCACAAGCUUGCUAGCCGCCGCCACCCCUGUGGUGGAUCUUUGCGCACGUAUUUUUCAUAUUUUCCAGAAAUAUUCUCCGUAAAUUUUCAGGACGUUCUGAGAACUUUCAUUUCUGCACAAAAACAACACCAAGGCAAUUUGCUGAAAACAGCGUUAGUCCACGUUACUUCCAUUCAAACCAUGCAAAUUAGAGUCCAAAACAAGGGAAAAAGAGUUUGGAAAAGUAUAUACGAUGGAGACGUAUCAACUCCCCCAAGCUUAAAACCUUGCUUGUCCUCAAGCAACUCAGUUGACAAACUAAGAGAGAAAGAAAAACUGUGACAAACUCUGUUUGAUCUUGUUGUUGCAACUAUGUCUAACUCAUAACCAGAAUUUCAGCAAGAUCACAAGUUAACCACAUAAGCAAGUGACACAAAGGUCUCACGGUAAACUAAUAUCAGUGGCAUAAUCAGCUAACGAGCAAAUAAUAAUGAGUUUCAAAUACCAACGCUUCAAUCAAAACAAGCAUGAAGCAAUAUGAAUAGGUGGUAUCUCGCUAGCUCUUUCUGAGACCGCAAAACAUAAAUGCAGAGCACUUUCAAAGAUCAAGGGCUGACUAAACAUUGUAAUUCAUAGCAACGAAGAUCUAGCCAUAGUCAUACUCAAUAUCAAUCAAAAGCAAAGCAUAAAAAUGACAGAGGUGCUCUCUAAUUGGUGACUCGACAGGAAAAUAAAUAGACAUGCCCUUCGCAGAGGGAAGCAUUGAUUUGCAGAGGUGCCACAGCUCAAGCUUUGAAAACAGAGAUAAUAAUUUUGGGUGGCAUGCUUUCAUUGUCAAUGCAAUGACCAAGAGUUCUCAAUAUCUUCCAUGCUACUCAUGCUAUAGGAGGUUCCUAAACAGAAAAGUAAAGUUUUAACUCCCCCACCACCAAUCAAUCACACUCCACGGCGAGCCGAAUCCUCGGGUACCGUCCAUACUAACAUCAAUCUGGGGGGAGUCUUGUUUUACAGUUAUGUUUUUGAUUUAAGCGUGGAACUGGGCAUUCCAAUUACCGGCCCCUUUCUCGUGAAUGACAGUGAAUAAACACAUGUCGAGGAUAACACUCCUAGCAUGGAAGAUACCAAUAGCCCCCUAUCACCACAUGAGCGGUUCGGGCAUGCAAAACAAAUUAUUUCUUGAAGGUUUAGAGAGUGGCACAUGCAAAUUUACUUGGAAUGGCAGGUAGAUACCGCAAAUAGGUAGGUAUGGUGGACUCUCAUGGAAAAACUUUUGGGUUUAUGGAAGUGGAUGCACAAGCAAUAUUCCGCUUAGUACAGGUGAAGGGUAGCAAAAGACUGGGAAGCGACCAACUAGAGAGCGAAAACAGUCAUCAAGAUGCAAUGAGUUUGACUAACAUUGAAUGCAAGCAUGAACAAGAUAUAAAUCACCAUGAACACAAACAUCAUAGAGGCUAUGUUGAUUUUGUUUCAACUACAUGCAUGAACAUGCGCCAAGUCAAGCCACUUGAAUCAUUCAAAGGAGAAUACCAUCCUAUCAUACUACAUCAUAGUCAUCUCAAAAUCUAUGUUGGCAUUCACGACAAACCAUUAUAAGCUCUUAGCUAGUUAAGCAUGGCAUCAGAAACUACGAUCUCUAAGUUGUCAUUGCAAAUAUGGUUCUCUCACAACAAAGCAGAAUCUGGGACGACAAGCUAGUCAUAUUUACAAAAACAAAAUAGAUAGAGUUCAUACCAACUUUUCAGUCUCAGUCACUUCAUCAUAUAUCAUCAUUAUUGCCUUUCAUUUGCACGAUCGAACAAUGUGAAUAAUAAUAAGAAUGCUCAUGCAUUGGACUAAGCUGAAUCUACAGGCAAACACAAAGGAGAAGACAAAGUAAUAUGGCUCUUUGAAAGCUAAACAGGUAUGCAUGCAAGAACCACUAAACAUUGUAACCAAUAUCUUCUACCUUGACCCAAAGAAAAAGAAAACUAUUUACACGGGAAAACUCCCAACAAGCAAAAGAAGAAACAAAACUCUUUUUGGGUUUUCUCAAAAGGACAGAAAACAAGAAAAACAAGAAAACGAAAACAAACUAGCAUGGAUAAUACAGUGGCAAAGUGUGAACAUCGGCUGACAAAGUGAAAGCAUAAGCAUGAAAGUAAAGUCGGUGAGAACAAGUACUCCCCUAAGCUUAGACUUUUGGCCUAGCUUGGUCUACUCCCAUGGAUGGUCCUGACGAAACCCAAAAUCAUAAUGGGUGUUAUACGGGAGUGUUGCAGCCACUGCCUGAAUAGCUGCCUCACGAAGUCGAGUAGCCGUCGCCUCCCUCUCAUACUCCUCUGCCUCUCCUAUGGUUAUGUAGUAUCUUCGUUUUACCUGAAAGUCAAAGAAAGCAGGAGCAGGAAGGGUAAUAUGGAAAACACGCUGCCGGUUAAAUAUCAAGUGGUAUAGGAGGGAUCCAUGAUCUCUCUCAAGGAACUGGUGGCGUGUUAGAGCGACACGAUCAAGGUAGGCUGUACGGAGAGGAGGGUCUUCUGAACGGAUGGAUACUCCAAGAAAAUUUGCUAAGCGUGUAGCAUAAACUCCACCAAAGAAAUCCCCCUCACUGGCAUUAUUAUUCAGCCUCCUUGCUAUUAUAGCUCCCAUGUUGAAGCUCCUGUCACCUGUUACUGCGCUCUUAAGGAUACUAAGGUCGGGAGCGCAUAGGUGACAAUGUGCACCCUUGCCGUUAAUGCACCUACCUAUGAAGAGGACAAAGUAGUGCAAGGCAGGGAAAUGGAUGCUUCCUAUGGUGGCUUGCGUGAUAUCUCUGGUUUCUCCAACAGUUAUACUGGAGACAAAGUCUCUGAUCGAAGACUUAGAAGGAUCAUUAAUACUACCCCCAUCGGGUAUCUUGCAAAUCCUAUUGAAAUCCUCCAAGUCCAUGGCGUAUCAUUUAUCGUACAGAUCAAACAGUAUGGAUGAGUCACAGCCAACUGAAAAUUUAAAUCUACGCACGAAAGAGGUAGUGAGCAUAGCAUACUGUUCACAUUUAUCUGAGAGGAAUUCUUCUAACCCGGCAUUGCAGACAAGUGUAUCAAACUCAUCCUUGAAACCUGCUUCAAUCAUGAACUCAUCGGAAGGCCAUUCACAUGGUUGUACCGGUGCGUCCCUUAGUUGAAAAGGUUCGGGCUCCCGAAAAGAAAGACGGGGACCCUUCUUACUUGAGGAACCACCAUGAAACUUCCUCCUGAACAUAAUUUCCUUUUGCUGAAAUUUUUGAAGUUCAAGAGAAAAGUGAAUGAAGACCAACCACACCUUGUAGCAACUACUCCUGCUAGUCCCUAGAGACCGUAUCACGCACUAAAACUACUUGGGACCAGCUAAAAUCAACAUUUCUAGCUCAAGAACAGGGUCACCAAGGUAGCAAGAAUACGCGAAGGAUAAAACACUAGAGAAAAAACAAAUUGGACCAAUGGAGGAGUCACUUACCAAGGAGUAAUUUCCCCAAAACGGUUCGGAGAAUGGUGCUUUGAGCAAGGAGAUCAAAAAUCACAGCCAAAUGAGCAAGAACACGGGUUUGAGCUGCGAAACAAUUUUUUUCUGGAGGUGGAAGAAGAGGAUGGGAGCUGGAAUGAGUGGACGGGGGUCCCUGUGGGCCCCACAAGCUUGCUAGCCGCUACUAGGGGGUGGCGGCUACAGGGCUUGUGGCCCACUAGUCUGGCCCCCAGGCCAGCUCUCAAGCCUAGUAAUUUUCAAAUAUUCCGGAAAAAAUCAUACUAAAUUUGUAGGACCAUCGGAGAACUUUUAUUUUCGAGGUAUUUUUUCUCCGGGACGCUAAAACAGAAAACAGGAAAAACUAAACUAAAUCUAUCAUUUUUCUUCUAAGCAACAGAAAAUGAAAGCUUAAAACAGAGGUAUGUGACUCUUUGAUUCAUCCGUUUCAUGGUCAUCGAAAGAAAUCCGUCAACGGGGUUGAUCAAGCCCUCAUGAUAAAACCUUCUCGAAUCGCAAGAGAGAACGGAGAAUUUUCGAAUAGCCACUAAGUCACCUCAAUGGGGAUAUGUAUCUCCCCAACAAGCAAAUCAUACUUCAUCUUGACACGAGGAAUAGGGCAUUCAAAGCUCCCAAAUAGAAUCGAUGAAGUCUUUUCAAUAGCAUUGAGACAAUGUACUUGAUAUCGUUUCUUCGAAAAGUGCACUGUGUGCUCAUUACCGUUGACAUGGAAAGCGACAUUGCCUUUGUUGCAAUCUAUAACAGCCCAUGCAGUGUUUAAAAAGGGUCUUUCGAGGAUGACAGCCAUGGCAUCGUCCUCGGGAAUAUCCAAGAUAACAAAGUCUGUUAAGAUAGUGGUGUUAGCAACCACAACAGGCACAUCCUCACAAAUGCCGAUAGGGAAAGCAGUUGAUUUGUCGGCCAUUUGCAGAGAAAUUUUAGUGGGUGUCAACUUAUCCAAUUCAAGGAUACGAUAAAGAGAGAGCGGCAUAACACUAACACCGGCUCCAAGGUCACAUAAGGCAAUUCUUACGUAGUUUCCUUUAAUGGAGCAAGGUAUAGUGGGCACUCCAGGAUCACCAAGUUUCUUAGGAGUUCCACCUUUGAAAGUGUAAUUGGCAAGCAUGGUGGAGAUCUCAAGAUCUGGUAUCUUCCGUUUAUUAGUCACGAUAUCUUUCAUGUACUUGGCAUACGGAGACAUUUUGAGCAUAUCAGUUAACCGCAUUUGCAGAAAGAUGGAUCUUAUCAUCUCAACGAAGCGCUCAAAAUCCUCAUCAUCCUUUUUCUUGGAUGGCUUAGGAGGAAAGGGCAUAGAUCUCUGAACCCAUGGCUCCCUUUCUUUACCAUGCUUCCUAGCAGUGAAGUCAUUCUUAUCGUAUAUCUUAGGUUGUGGGUUACCAGGAUUAACCGUAGGUUCAAUCUCCACAUCCUCAUCAUUGCUAGGUUGAGCAUUAUUAUGAACAUCACUGUCUAUAUUGUCACCAGGUUCAUGUUCAUCACCAGAUUGUGUUUCUGCAUCUGACGUAGAAAUAUCAUUAGGUUCUUCAGGUGUGACAGUAUUUGGUGAACUGGCAUGUAGGUUUCUAUCAUCCUUCUUCUUAUCCUUAGGAUGACUAGGUGUAUCAGCAUUGAUUCCUUGAGAAUCUUGAUCAAUUCUCUUAGGAUGACCUUCAGGAUACAAAGGUUCCUGAGUCAUUUUGCCUCCUCUAGUAAUGACUCUGACAGAGUUGUCAUUUAAUUCAUUGAGCAGGUCAUUCUGAGCUUUAAGUACUUGUUCUACCUGAGUAGUAAUCAUAGAGGCAUGUUUACUCAAAAGCUUCAGAUCAUUGACAUUUCUGUCUACACAAGCACUUAAAUGGCUAAGCAUACGGGUACUUUGUUCCAAAUGUCUGCUAACAUAAUCAUUGAAACUCUGUUGUUUGGCAACAAAGUUGUCAAAUUCAUCAAAGCAUAGGCUAGCAGGUUUGUCAAAAGGAAUAUCACUCUCAUCAAACCUACGGAGAGAAUUCACUUCUACUACAUGUAUUGGGUUAUCGAGACCAUGGAUCUCUUUGAUGGGUGGUAGAUUCUUGACAUAUUCAGAUCUAAUGCCUUUCUCUUGCAUAGAUUUCUUGGCUUCUUGCAUAUCUUCUGGACUGAGGAAUAGAAUAUCUCUUUUCUUCGGAGUUGGCUUAGGAGGUGGUUCGGGAAUAGUCCAAGCAUUAUCGUUGAUCAAGAUGCUAUUCAGUAGGGUAUGAGCUUGUUCUACAGUUCGUUCCCUAAAAACACAACUGACACAACUAUCUAGGUGGUCUCUAGAGGCAUCGGUAAGUCCAUUAUAGAAGAUAUCAAGUAUCUCGUUCUUCUUAAGAGGGUGAUCACGCAAAGCAUUCUGUAGCUGGACGAGCAUCCCCCAAGCUUGUGGGAGACUCUCUUCUUGGAGUUGAGCAAAGUUGUAUAUUUCCUGCAAGGCAGCUUGCUUCUUAUGGGCAGGGAAAUAUUUCUCACAGAAGUAAUAGACCAUAUCCUGGGGACUACUCACACAUCCAGGAGCAAGAGAGGUGAACCAGGCUUUAGCGUCAUCCUUUAGAGAGAAAGGAAAUAGCUUAAGGAUAUAGUAGUGGCGGAUCUUCUCCUCAUUAGUGAAAAGGGUGGCUAUAUCGUGUAGUUUGGUAAGAUGGGCUACGACCGUCUCAGACUCAUAGCCGUGAAAAGGAUCAGAUUCGACUAGAGAGAUUAUCUCAGGAUCGACAGAGAAUUCAUAAUCCUUAUCGGUGAUAAAGAUAGGUGAAGUGGCAAACUUCGGGUCGUAUUUCAUCCUAGCUUUCAGAGAUUUUUCCUUCCACUUGAGAAGUAAUUUCUCAGCGUCAUAGGCAUCCUUACACGCAAGAAAAUCCUCAGCCAUCUCUCCCUCCAUAAUGUAACCCUCAGGUAUAUCAGGCAAUUCAUAUCUAGGAGAGCUAGGUCUAGCAGGAGCAAAAGCAGGUUCUAUCUCAAUAGUAUCGGCAGUUUCAGAAGCAUCACGAGCAUUGGCACUAACUCUAGCAAUAUGAGCAUCUAGGAAUACCCCUAGUGGAACAUCAGGUAGAGUAGUAUCUCUAGCAAUAUCAAGCAUAGCAUCAUCAGGCAUAGCAUCAUAAGCAUCAUCAUGCAUAGCAUCUCUAGGAGUAUCAGGCAAAGCAGUAUGAGGCAUAGCAUCAUAAGCAUCAUCACGCAUAGCAUCUCUAGAAGUAUCAGGCAUAACAUCUCUAGCAGUAUGAGGCAAAGCAGUAUCAGGCAUAGCAUCAUAAGCAUCAUCAAGCACAUGCGACAUAUCAAGAUUUCUAGCAGGAGGUGAUGUCGCAAACUUACUCAUAACUGAAGGUGAAUCAAGUGCACAGCUAGAUGGCAGUUCCUUACCUCCCCUCGUAGUUGAGGGCAAGACUUUGGUUUUUGGAUCCUUCAGAUUCUUCAUAAUGAUCAGCAGAUAUAAAUCUCAAGUGACUCAGAGAAUAUAGCAAUACCUCCCAGGCAACAGCGCCAGAAAAAUGCUGACUAGCACUCUCUGGCAAUAGCUAGACGGAUGUUGUUCUCUAUUGCUCAACUAUUAGAAAUUGUCUUGCAAUAACCCACCAGCGCGUGGGAUCGAGGCAGUUUUCGAGGGUAGAGUAUUCAACCCAAAUUUGUUGAUUCGCCAAUAGGAGGUGAGAGGAUACUCUCAAGUAUUAGCAGUUGAAUGUGUCAGAUUCAACCACACCUGAAAGGUUAAUAUCUGCAAGCAAAGUAGUAACAGCAAAGUAGCAGCACUAGUGACAGCAAUAGCAAGUAGCAAUAGUAGCAAGUAACAGCAAUAGCAAGUAACAUCAGUAACAACAGUAGUAACAGCAGCAGAGCAAAACAAGUAACAGCAGCAGUGGGACAAACUCGUAGGCAAUGGGUCGGUGAUUUGUUUGUAUGAUAUUCAUCAUGCAAUAGUUAUAACACGGAGAGAUAUGUGGCUAGCUCCCGUUCGGCAAUGUGAUGUAGGCAUGCAUUCUGUGUGUCGUCAUACGUGCUUAGGGAAAAUAACUUGCAUGACAUCUAUUGUUCAUCCCUCCCGUGGCAGCGGGGUCCAAAAGGAAACUACGGGAUAUUAAGGUUCUCCUUUUAAUAAAGAACCAGACCAACGCAUUAGCACUUGGUGAACACAUGAACUCCUCAAACUAUGAUCAUCACCGGGAGUGGUUCCGGUUAUUGUCACUCCGGGGUUGCCGGGUCAUAACACAUAGUAGGUAACUACAACUUGCAAGAUCGGAUCUAAAACACACAUAUAUUGGUGACAACUUAAUAAUUUCAGAUCUGAAAUCAUGGCACUCGGGCCCUAGUGACAAGCAUUAAGCAUGGCAAAGUAGUAGCAACAUCAAUCUCAGAACAUAGUGGAUACUAGGGAUCAAUCCCCGUCAAAACUAACUCGAUUACAUGAUAGAUCUCAUCCUACUCAUCACCGCCCAGCGAUCCUACGAAUAGAUUACUCACGAACGACGAAGAGCUUCAUGGAAUUGGAGAGGGAAGAAGGUUGAUGAUGACGAUGGCGACGAUUUCCCCUCUUCGGAGCCCAAAACGGACUCCAGAUCUGCCCUCCAGAUGAAGAACAAGAUGUGGCGGCGCCUCCGUAUCGCAAACGCGACGAAAUCUUCUCUCUUGAUUUUUUCUGGGACGAAAGUGAACUUAUAGAGCUGAGAUUGGGGGCGGCAGAGCCACGUGGGCCCCACAAGCUUGCUAGCCGCCACGAGGGGGUGGCGGCUACAUGGCUUGUGGCCCACUGGCCCAUCCCCUCCGGUGGAUCUUUGCGCAUGUAUUUUUCAUAUUUUCCAGAAAUAUUCUCAGUAAAUUUUCAGGACGUUCUGAGAACUUUAAUUUCUGCACAAAAACAACACCAAGGCAAUUAUACUGAAAACAGCGUCGGUCCAGGUUAGUUCCAUUCAAAUCAUGCAAAUUAGAGUCCAAAACAAGGGCAAAAGAGUUUGGAAAAGUAGAUACGAUGGAGACGUAUCAGUAAGUAAUUGGACUGUGAAGCUUUUCCAAUAGGAAAUUUCCUCCGUUUUGGAAUUUUUGGAAAAAUAGAAAAAUAAAAAGCAGUCCGGAGAGCGCACGAGGCAGCCACAAGCUUGGUAGCCGCCACCUACCCCCCUGGCGGCGACUACAGGGCUUGUGGGCAUCUCGUGUGCCUCCCGGACUCCGUUUUCUUGCGGAGCACUCCUUCUGGUCCAGAAAAAAUCAUUAUAUAUACGCCCGAGGGUUUCCUCUCUUUUCGUUUCGAGCCUGUUGUCUUCCGCAGAUUUAGAGCAAAUAUGUCUCAGGAAUCUGUUGGGGAGAAUGAUCUCCCCCAAGUUCAUGAAGAAGUAGAUGCUGAUCUGAAAAGAGUAGAAGUCACGGAAGCCAGGGACAAAGCUAAGGAGAAAACCCAAGCUAAGGAGGAAGUUCAACCUAUGUUCAACAUUGAAGACAUUGAAGGAGUAGAUUUUCUCCAACCCUUCCUCCACGUGAUGUCUCCAUCCUUGAUUGAACUCUUGAGGUUUUGCGAAACAACUCGUGCUCGCAGUAUUUCCCUUUCUCGUGAAGUUGUUUUGCUGGAAAACCAUGUCGUAGAUCUCAAAGGUAUAAAUCAAAGAUUGAUAGCUCUCUUGGAAUCAAAGGCAAGGACUCCNNNNNNNNNNNUGGUAUCGUAUCACCUUUAUAUCUUUUGCUUUUACCUUUGUUUUAGUUCUUUCCUUUUCAGUUUUUGUUUUUUCUCUUAGUGGAAUAAUUCUUGAGUUUUUAGUUUGAGUCUUUUGCUUUGUGUCUCCCCCGAUGUAUUCGAGCUUGCGAGCUAUAUAAUAAAGAGUAUCUUAGUCAAGGUCUUUGUUUUGUGCCGUGAUCAAAAGUACAAAAAGAACGAUAGCAUGAAAGAUCAUGAGAUGAUCCUAUGGAAAGUGAUAGCUUCACAUAUAACAAGUAUGAUGAUUGAAACUUGUUGAGAAUAAACCAACAUAGACCUCAGUCAUUGUUGCAAUUAAUAAGAAGUAAUAAGGAAAGAGAGGUUCACAUAUAAAUAUAUCAUCUUAGACACUUUGUAGAAUUGUGAGCACUCACCAAACUAUUACAUGCGUAGUAGUAGAUGUUGGACAAGGAAGACAACAUAAUGAAUUGUGUUUGCUUUGUUCCAAACAAUGUUAUAUGAUUAGAGAUCCCUUAGCAUGUGACGAUUGCUUCCACCUCAUAUUAGCCAAAACUCCCGCACCAAGUAGAGAUACUACUUGUGCAUCCAUAAACCUCCAACCCAGUUUUGCCAUGAGAGUCCACCAUACCUACCUAUGGAUUGAAUAAGAUCCCUCAAGUAAGUUGUCAUCGGUGCAAGCAAUAAAAAUUGCUCUCUAAAAUGUAUGAUCUAUUAGUGUGUGGAAAAUAAGCUUUAUACGAACCUGUGAUGAGGAAGACAUAAAAGCGACAGACUGCAUAAUAAAGUUCUUUAUCACAGGAGGCAAUAUAAAGUGACGUUCCUCCGCACUACGAGGACACGCAUCCAAACCUCAAAAGCGCAUGACAACCUCUUCUUCCCUCUGCGAAGGGCCUAUCUUGUACCUUUACUUUUUGCCCUUGUAAGAGUCAUGGUGAUCUUCACUAAUUCCCUAUUUUGCCUUUGUCUUGUCUACCGUCACACGCUUGGGAAAGAUCUAUAUUCAUAUAUCAACUUGGAGAUGAGCACUUAUGCUUUAUUAUUGUUGACUUUACCCUUGAGGUAAAUGGUUGGGAGGCAAAACUAUAAGCCCCUAUCUUCCUCUAUGUCCAGCUGAAACUUUGAUACCAUGAGUACCACGUGAGUUGUAACAAUUGUGGAAAACAAAGAGAUGAUUGAGUAUGUGGGUUUGCUUUACAAGCUCUUAUUUGACUCUUUCUGAUGUUAUGAUAAAUUGCAAUUGCUUCAAUGACUAUGGACUGUUGUUGGCUACUUGUCGGUCAGGUUUUUGUUUCAUACUUUCCCUUGUGAAGGAAUUGUUACUUUCCCAUAAGAAUCUUUAUGAUGUAUUAUUGUUCUAUAUGUGAUCAUGAUGCCCUCAUGUCCGUAUUAUGUUUUAUCGACACCUUCAUCCCUAAACAUGUGGACAUGUUUAUGGAACUUGGUUUUCGCUUGAGGACAAGCGAGGUCUAAGCUUGGGGGAGUUGAUACGUCAAUUUUGCAUCAUGCUUUCAUGUUGAUAUUUAUCGCUUUAUGAGCUGUUUUAUUACCUUGUGGUACCAUACUUAUGCCUUUUCUCUCUUAUUUUGCAAGGUUUAUUUGAAGAGGGAGAAUACCGGCAGCUGGAAUUCUGGACUGAAAAAGGAGCAAGUCUGAGUCCUCUAUUCUGCGCAACUCCAAAUGCCCUGAAAAUCAACGUGGAAUUUUUUGGGAUUAUAUAAAAAAAUAUUGGGCGAAAGAAGUACGAGAGGGGAGCUACCAGGGCCCCGCAAGCGUGGUAGCCGCCACCCCCUGGUGGCGGCUACAGGGCUUGUGGGCUCCCUGGCGGCCCACCGCCCCCCCUCUUUUGCUAUAUGAAGGGUUUCGUUCCAGAAAAAAUCAAGGAGGAGCUUUUUCGUGGAUUCUCCGCCGCCACGAGGCGGAACUUGAGCACAUCCAAUCUAGAGUUCCAGCAGGACGAUCCUGCCGGGGAAACUUCCCUCCCGGAGGGGGAAAUCGUCGCCAUCGUCAUCACCAACAAUCCUCUCAUCGGAGGGGAGUCAUCUCCAUCAACAUCUUCAUCAGCACCAUCUCCUCUCCAAACCCUAGUUCAUCUCUUGUAACCAAUCUCCGUCUCGCGACUCCGAUUAGCACUUGUAAGGUUGUUAGUAGUGUUGAUUACUCUUUGUAGUUGAUGCUAGUUGGAUUACUUGGUGGAAGAGUUUAUGUUCAGAUCCUUGAUGCUACUCAUUACACCUCUGAUCAUGAUUAUGAUUAUGCUUUGUGAGUAGUUACUUUUGUUCCUGAGGACAUGGGAUAAGUCAUGCUGAUAAUAGUCAUGUGAAUUUGGUAUUCGUUCGGUAUUUUGAUAUGUUGUAUGUUGUAUUUUCCUCUAGUGGUGUUAUGUGAACGUCGACUACAUAACACUUCACCAUAUUUGGGCCUAGAGGAAGGCAUUGGGGAGUAGUAAGUAGAUGAUGGGUUGCUAGAGUGACAGAAGCUUAAACCCGAGUCUAUGCGUUGCUUCGUAAGGGGCUGAUUUGGAUCCACUAGUUUAAUGCUUUGGUUAGAUGUUGUCUUAAUUCUUCUUUCGUAGUUGCGGAUGCUUGCGAGAGGGGUUAAUCAUAAGUGGGAUGCUUGUCCAAGUAAGGGCAGUACCCAAGCGCCGGUCCACCCAAAUAUCAAACUAUCAAAGUAACGAACGCGAAUCAUGUUAACAUGAUGAAACUAGCAUGCCAGAAAUUCCUGUGUGUCCUGGGAGCGUUUUUCCUCCUAUAAGACUUUGUUCAGGCUUGUCCCUUGCAACAAAAGGGAUUGGGCCACUUUGCUGCACCGUUGCUACUACUUGUUACUCGUUACUUUUCACUUGCUACGUUUCGCCUUGCUACACCAUCACUUGUUACCGCUACUUUCAGUGCUUGCAGUUAUUACCUUGCUAAAAACUGUUUAUCAGAGCCUUCUGCUCCUCGUUGGGUUCAACACUCUUACUUAUCGAAAGGACUACGGUUGAUCCCCUAUACUUGUGGGUCAUCAGGUACGCUGUUGUCGCGGUGGAUGAAGUUAUGGAAGAUUAUGAGGAGCUGAAGCUCGACCUCCCUGUAGGUGAAGAUAGGGAUUUGACUCAACUUGAAGAAGUCAAGAAACAACACGUUGUAUGGCCAAAGGAGGACAUCUUGCUUCCAAAUUGGACGCCAAGGCCACCGACUCCUCAUAGCAGCAAUCCUUCUUCGCCUCCACCUCACCAGUCUCUAGCGCAACCGUCGUCUUCGCCGCCUCACCAGUCUCCAGCGCAACCGUCUCCACCGCCGCAUCAGCCGUCUCCACCGCCCCGUCAGCCGUCUUCAUCCACUAAGGAUCAGAGCAAAAAGCAGAAACGACCACCGCUAAUAGUGGCGGCAGAAAGGGGUUCCGAUCACCGAAACGUAAAUUGUCGCCCCUCCCAAAAGUACCUCAUAAGGAUAUGGAGAAGAGACCUUGGGACUAUACUAGAGAGGAUAAUAUUAAGAGGGCAUACGCCCAACAUCAACAGUGGAAGAUUGAGACGGUUAACAAGAAGAAGCCGAAAGAGCCAGAGUUCCCAGUCACCCCAGAAGAUCACGCCGCGUGCGUGAAAAUGCUGAAAACCCUUGCAGAUCCCUCGCCUCCGUUGCCAGCAGACUAUGAACGCUCUAUUCUCAAGUCGGCUCAGACAAAAAAGCAGCGGUUGAAGAGUAGCACGUCCAGCGGGAAAUCAGUUGCCCAGAUCGGACAACAGAAAAACCAAUUGUGCCCCCCCCCCCCCGCUCAAAGUGUAUUCCGAUACAAAGGUGUGCUCGAGCGGAGCUGCGGUCGAGCAGAGGAAUGAUGAAACAACUGGUAUCAAUCCGGAGUUUGUUGCAUUAUACGGAGAAGCGGCCAAGGCUCAAGGCAUGUCUAUUGAUGAGUACUUAAACCAUUUGCAGGAAUUCGUUGACAUAACAUACGUGUACCGGUACGGGGCUCCUCUCGUCAAACUUGAGUUAGUCAACGAGCUACCAACCAAAAUGUGAAGAUUGCAUGAUUGGUACAUGCAAGCAUGUGCUGAACAACAAAACUGGAUCUACGUUGCAUAUAAAGACGAGCAUUUAGGACUGGACGAGGCGUGCUAAUGAUUGAACUCGACGUAUUAUUUCAGUUAUACAAACAAGACGCCCUCGACAAAUCUAUCAUAACUGCCUAUUGUUUGUAAGUAUUAUUAAUUUAUGUCAUUAAGUUUUACUUAGCUCGUUCUUGCAUGUAUAAUCUUACUCAUCACUAUAUUAAUUUUGAAGAAUGAAGAUUCUCGAAUGCAAAAGAGGAUAAAUCUAUGACAUUGGGUUCAUUGACCCAUAUUACAUUCAUCACCAAAGUAUCGCAACGAAUCCCCGCGACACAGAGAAUAACUUGGUACAAGGGUUAAGGUUUUCCAGUACCAAAUGGAAAAUACUAUUUCCUUACAACUUCAAGUGAGAGUUACUACACACAUUCUAUUUUUGCUUACUCGAUGUUAUUAUAAGUGUAUAAUUAACUCGUUAUGCGUGCGCAGGUUUCACUUUAUUUUGUUAAUCAUUGUACCUGACGAGGGACAGGUAAUAGUCAUGGACUCGAAACGCACACCCCUCGCUGAAUGGGCGAACAUGCAGGAAUGCCUCCAGAUGUAAUUUCAAUCAUUAUGAUACUAUAUCGGCAACUUCUCGUUCAUUUCCUGAUAACAAAAAAUUAAUAUAGAACUCCUUUAUUCAUUUCCUUUUCUUGGCAGGGCUUGGAAACGGUUCACCGCCAAGGCUCGGGGUGUUUGAAAGUUAGAGCUUACAUUUAAACAAAUAGAUGUAAGUAAUUACUAGCUAGAUCCGCGCAUCUCUUUAUUCUGGUUUCAAUACCAUUAUAAUUCUUGAUUAUGUUUUUGAUUCAACUAUGUUCUCGUAAAGUGCUUGAGGCAGGAACACGGGAAUAAUUUAUGUGGAUACUAUGUUUGCGAGUUCAUUCGUCAAACGACCCAUGAGAUGGGAAAAAACCGGGACAUAAAAAAAUUGAAGUAUGAUAAACAAUACUCACAAUUUUUUUUUAUUAUCAUCAAUUGCGUUCGUUUUCGUUGAUAUAUAUAUCGACCCCUUCUUUAAAUUAGAUCGAACGGUUGCGGGACGGUCUUCUACCACAAGAACGUGUACGAGCAAUUCAAAAGAAAAUUGUCGGAUUCUUAGAUGCAGAGGUCCUAGAUGUCAAGGGAGAAUACUAUUGCUCGUCGAUGCAAUUGAUAGGAAAUGAUAUAGUGUAAAAAAGAUGCAUAUAUGUGCAUGUAACUCGUGUCUACAUUUUGUAAUAUGUUCGACAAAGCACGACGGAUGAGAUGAUGUAAUAUAUUAGUGACGAUGAUGUGCAAUAUAGUUGUUCUUUUAUUGCUCUGUAUGUACCAUCAAUUUAGUGCAAAACAAUAAUUAAAAAAUGCCCCAAAACAAAUAAAUGAAAAAAUAGGGGACAGUAAAAUAGUCCCAUCCAAUUUAAUGCAAAAUCCUAAGCCCUAAAAAUUGUUAAAAAAACAGCGAAGAAAUAGCCCCGGUUCGUAAUACGAACCGGGACUAAUACCCCUCCCGCCUCGCUCCCACCCCCGCCACGUGAAAGGUCAUCAGCCCUCGUUCGGGGCCGAACGGGGCUAGCAUUAGUCCCGUUGAUUAGUGAUAGAUACUGGCACGUCAACCGUGGUAUCAUCAUGUCGUAAGCAGGGCUAGACAUCUCCCCGCGUGAGGAAAUCAGCAGUGGCGGUGCGAGUAGUGUAGUCUUGUGUAGUCAAGUAUAUGAAUUUGUACAAACAAAAAUCAACAUAUCUACACGUAUAUGCUAGUUUCACCAAAAAGCUAGGUGGUCAAUUGACUACCCAGCUUCUGCUUGGCUUCGCCAUUGGAUAUCAGACAGCGCCAGUGCCGUCGCGCACCACUGCCGUACGUGCGAACUUCCGCGCUACGUGUUUUCCAAUGACAAGAAGGUCGACGGGGGAAGCUUACGCCCGAAGUCAUGGCUGUGCUCCGAUGAUUGGCAUGAUUUGCAAACUAAAAGUUUCUCACACCGUGCUCCUUUCGUGACCCUUGGCAACUUGGGCGUGAUAGUAAUAAGUAGAUGCGGCUAAAGGCCCCUGCUCUACACUCUCAUUUUGUUCUGUUUCUGUGUCGGACUUUGCUACGUUGCGGUGGUUUUCAACGGGAAUCAACGAGGGGCUCGUUCAUUGCCAAGCAUCUGAGCUACUGUACGCUUCAAGUCACCUACCUAGCCACGCUUCAAGUCACCUACCUAGAGCUCCCGGUGAGUGAACCCACCACCAUCGUCGCCGAAGGAUCGGGCCGGCGCCCACCGCGCACCGCAUCAACGUAGCACGCAGCGAUGAUUGAUCAAUGGCAUGCACGGCGGUUGUUGGUCGGCCUUGUCGAGCAGCCCUCGGCCGGUAGCCUUUGCGAGGUGUGCGUGGCAUGGUCUUGAAAAGCGACGCCCUAUUCGUUCCAAUUAUUACAAGGAAAGCAAACCCUCUCUCUGCGCGCCCACCACCGAUGAGCGAGCGCGUCCCGUGCAUUUGCAUUUGCACUGCCACCGACAGCGCUAAUCACCGCAUCAAGCUGAUCAUUGGCGGCAAUCGCGCACAGCGCAAGUACUGCUUCCGACCCUUCCGUGCACGGUCCACGUAGAGUGUGGUGGUUAGAUGCCUCCAAGCAUCAUCGACAUUGUGUCGGUCCUGAUGAUCAUUUGGCAACAACACCAAGAGCCGAGAAACCGAGCUGCUAACCAAAGCGGUCAUAUGUGUGUAAGCAAGAUGCGGAGGCCGGGUUUAUCCUUCUUUUCAUGAAAGACGCGAGUAAGUGAGACUAGAACUCCCCAAAAAAUCAGGAUGAUCUGUCUCUGACGGCAAUCAAGAUAUAGCAGACAAUUUUGAAAAUGGAAACAUAAGCAUUAACACAAAACCAAAUGUGUCUGUUGGAGUAAAAAAAAAGUCACAAAAUAAAAUGUUAGGACUAAUAACAAAAUCGAAACAAUAGUACUAGUCCUUGGUGGUUGGGGAGAAGGCAAAGGAACAAAUGAAGUGGAGGUUACUAGCUUUACUUUCCUUGCAAUGCAUGCAAGGUCGCCGAGCCUCGUCGCUCGAGAUGUUGUCAUGACUCCUCUUUGCCAGGCCAUGAUACAGUGCAGUCGAAGGGGAAAUCAUACAUAGUAGUAGUAGGCUCGUUCAAUUGCGGUGGUGCUUCUGGUGGUGCACUAACUAAUGCAUGCCCAAACAAUAAAUACUCUCUCCGUUCCUAAAUAUAAGUCUUUAAAGAGGUUUCAUUAGUGGACUACAUACGAAUGUAUAUAGACGUACUUUAGUAUAGAUUCAUUCAUUUUGCUAUGUAUGUAGACUUUUCAUGAAAUAUCUUAAAAGACUUAUAUUUAAAAACGGAGGGAGUAGAUUACAAUCAUUGUACAGUAGUAUCGAUGAUGGGCGUGAAUCCAAGUGCGUGAGCUCUAGCUAGCUAGUGUGGCCAAACGAGAAGAGGCUGUGUGUGACCCAGGCUGUCCACGGAGACUUCCAGGGCACAUUGCCGGAAGGUCUGGUUCGCGAGUCCAUGUCACGGGUAAUUGCUAGGACAGUAGCAGCUACUCUACCAUGGAGUCUCGGUGGUUAGAAAAGGGUAAAUCUCUUGGUGAAAACUUUGGCAUUGGCAUAUAAGAUAUGCACCUACCAUGGAGUGAUUACUGUACCAACAGAGGGGUGCAGGACGCUGGUGGUAAUGGCCUAGCUACUUGGUACUCCAUGCUUUCGGCUCUAAUUAAGGACUGCAUGCAUCUGGUGAGUGCUACGAGCCCGAGCAAUCCAUAGCUGUCAUGACAUGACACCCAACGGCGGGACGGCCGCGGGUGUCGGUCGCUUCGAGGUCUCCACCAACCUCUCCGGGUCGGGUCGGGUCCAUCAGGUUCGGCCUGAACGUGUUCUCAAAAGAAAAAAAAGGGGUUCGACCUGAACGUACGGUUCCGGGGUCGAGCUCGCGUCAAGCUUUGAGCACGGACACGUUGCCAUCCUCACGUGCACGCAUGAUUCAGAAACAACCGUGACGAUGUGCUUCCAUCCAUAGAUCGAUCUCUCAUCAUCCCUUUGAUUCUGCACUCUCGUGCAACAGUGCACGCAAUGCAACACGUACCGUUAACCCCUCAAACUCGCCGGGUUACGUAGCUUGUUUUACGUAAGGAGUCUCUCGAAGCGAAGGUGAAGGGUACGAUCGACGAGGUUCAGAGUUGGUUGACGAUUGCAUGUAGGAGAAGAUCGAUGUGCCGUUCUGAUUCGGGCAUGAAACCUUGCACGUAUACGCGUGCACGGCCGGUAGGCACGCACGAACGAACGAACCCCUGCCAUAAACCCUACCGUGCGGCUGCACGCGGCGUGCACUGAAUGACUGAAUCCCUGGCCUGCAUCGAUCCGUCAUAACUGGGCACUGAAGGCUCAUUUGCUCUGCGGAGUGAAGGUCAUUCGGUCACGUGGUCAGUUUGGCAGGCACGGCACGACACGAUCGGGCCGUCGCGCUAUAUAUAACGUCGCCACAGCUCUCGCCACCUCCACCACCACCAGUGCCCAGUCCUCCCACAGUCACACAGAGCAAGAAGCUAGAGCAGUGUAGUAGGCGAGAACACAAGACAAGAGAAGAAGCGAGAGGGAGCUAAACAGCUACCAGCAAUGGCGCUCGUUCCUCUCUUGCUGUCGCUGCUCCUCGUCUCCUGCGCCGCGCAGUCGCCAGCCUCGUCGCCGUCGGCGUCGAACGCUGCN
rnacentral:lncRNA from 1 species